UACGUAGGGUGCAAGCGUUGUCCGGAAUUAUUGGGCGUAAAGAGCUCGUAGGCGGUCUGUUACGUCGGCUGUGAAAACCCGAGGCUCAACCUCGGGCCUGCAGCCGAUACGGGCAGACUAGAGUUCGGCAGGGGAGACUGGAAUUCCUGGUGUAGCGGUGAAAUGCGCAGAUAUCAGGAGGAACACCAAUUGCGAAGGCAGCUCGCUGGGACGUUACUGACGCUGAGACGCGAAAGCGUGGGGAGCAAACAGG
rnacentral:rRNA from 1 species